UCCGUAGGUGAACCUGCGGAAGGAUCAUUAACAUCCUGAAAGGGCGUGUUUUCCGAGGUGUUGGGGUGUUCCCCAUCCCCAAGGUCUCAUGCCCGGCCAUUGAGAGAUGGUUCGCCCUUGCUUAUCAAAGUACUGCCACGUUUCCUCGGCGAGCUCGCUCGCCAAUGGGGACCCAAACCAAACUCUUUGCAGUAGCAAUUCUAGUCUGAUACAAAAACAAACCAAUCAAAACUUUCAACAACGGAUCUCUUGGUUCUGGCAUCGAUGAAGAACGCAGCGAAAUGCGAUAAGUAGUGUGAAUUGCAGAAUUCAGUGAAUCAUCGAAUCUUUGAACGCACAUUGCGCCCUUUGGUAUUCCUUAGGGCAUGCCUGUUCGAGCGUCAUUUAAACCCUCAAGCUCUGCUUGGUGAUGGGCGUCUUGUCGAUCUAGCGGACUCCGCAGGUGACUCGCCUCAAAUCUAUUGGCGGCUAGCAUUGUAGUUUCGAGCGCAGCAGAAACGCGAACUCGGGUCUACGUGUGAGCUCCAGCAAGCCACCCCCAAUUUUGGACCUCGGGGAUCCAGGGGGUAGGGGGGGAUACCCGGCUGGAACUUAAGGCAUAUCAAUAAGGCGGGGAGGGG
rnacentral:rRNA from 1 species